rnacentral:lncRNA from 1 species
AUAUCACAUAUGUAAACAACAUUCCUCAGGAAUGGCUCUUUUGAGCUCUAAUUAAUUUCGGAUGACAAAAAAAAAAAGUUGAGAAUAGAGUUGCUCUAUAUAUAGAGUCAAUCUGCAGAAAUCUCUAUUUUAGAGUCAAUUAUAGAGUAGGGUUGGAGAAGAAUUUUGCAUUUUUACUCUAAAAUAGAGUAGGGUUGGAGAUGC